rnacentral:rRNA from 1 species
UACAGGGGGUGCAAACGUUGCUCGGAAUUAUUGGGCGUAAAGCGCGCGUAGGCGGCCGUUUAAGUCGGAUGUGAAAGCCCCUGGCUCAACUGGGGAAGUGCACCCGAAACUGAAUGGCUUGAGUACUAAAGAGGGUCGCGGAAUUCCCGGUGUAGAGGUGAAAUUCGUAGAUAUCGGGAGGAACACCGGUGACGAAGGCGGCGACCUGGGUAGAUACUGACGCUGAGGCGCGAAAGCGUGGGGAGCAAACAGG